rnacentral:rRNA from 1 species
UAGGGAAUCUUCCGCAAUGGACGAAAGUCUGACGGAGCAACGCCGCGUGAGUGAAGAAGGAUUUCGGUUCGUAAAACUCUGUUGUUAGGGAAGAAAAAAUGUAUAGUAACUAUAUACAAAAGAGACGGUACCUAACCAGAAAGCCACGGCUAACUACGUGCCAGCAGCCGCGGUAAUACGUAGGUGGCAAGCGUUGUCCGGAAUUAUUGGGCGUAAAGCGCGCGCAGGUGGUUUAGAAAGUCUGAUGUGAAAGCCCACGGCUCAACCGUGAAGGGUCAUUGGAAACUAAUAAACAUGAGUGCAGGAGGGAAAAGUGGAAUUCCUAGUGUAGCGGUGAAAUGCGUAGAGAUUAGGAGGAACACCGGUGGCGAAAGCGGCUUUUUGGCCUGCAACUGACACUGAGGCGCGAAAGCGUGGGGAGCAAACAGG